rnacentral:snRNA from 1 species
GUGCUAGCUUCGGCAGCACAUAUACUAAAACUGGAACAAUGCAGAGAAGAUAAGCAUGGCCCCUGCACAAGGAUGACACGCAAAUUUGUGAAGCAUUCCAUAUUUUU